rnacentral:rRNA from 1 species
GACGAACGCUGGCGGCGUGCUUAACACAUGCAAGUCGAACGGAAAGGCCUUUUCGGAGGUACUCGAGUGGCGAACGGGUGAGUAACACGUGGGUGAUCUGCCCUGCACUCUGGGAUAAGCCUGGGAAACUGGGUCUAAUACCGGAUGGGACCGCACUUUAGUGUGUGUGGUGGAAAGUUUUUUCGGUGUAGGAUGAGCCCGCGGCCUAUCAGCUUGUUGGUGGGGUAAUGGCCUACCAAGGCGGCGACGGGUAGCCGGACUGAGAGGUUGGUCGGCCACAUUGGGACUGAGAUACGGCCCAGACUCCUACGGGAGGCAGCAGUGGGGAAUAUUGCACAAUGGGCGCAAGCCUGAUGCAGCGACGCCGCGUGGGGGAUGACGGCCUUCGGGUUGUAAACUCCUUUCGCCAGGGACGAAGCGUUUUGUGACGGUACCUGGAGAAGAAGCACCGGCUAACUACGUG